UUCUUUGGUUCCUGUGUAAUAAAUAACCGCCUUUAUGUGGCUGGCGGAGAAUGUGAUGGAAUUCAUAGGACUUUACGCUCUGCUGAAGUUUAUGAUCCUAACAAGAACAGAUGGAGUUUUGUUCAAGAUAUGAGCACUGCUAUGGUACCUUUCAUUGGGGUAGUUUACGAUGGAAAGUGGUUUGUAAAAGGUCUGGGGUCUCAUCGCGAAGUUAUGAGUGAAGCAUACGAUCCUGAAUCUAAUUCCUGGUCUGCUGUUAGUGGUGGGAUGGUUUCUGGUUGGCGCAACCCUUGUAUCUCUUUAAAUGGAAAGCUCUAUGCCCUGGAUUGCCGUGAUGGAUGUAAGCUUAGGGUGUAUGAUGGAGCCACAGAUUCAUGGAAUAAAUUUAUUGAUAGUAAGCUCCAUUUCGGGAGUUCUCGAGCUUUGGAAGCUGCUGGCCUAGUUCCUCUCAAUGGCAAACUUUGUAUCAUUCGCAAUAACAUGAGCGUAAGUCUCGUUGAUGUUUCCAGUCCAGACAAACAGGUCGAAAGCAACCCUCAGCUUUGGGAAAACAUUGCCAGUAGAGGUCAUUUCAGGACUCUCUUUACAAAUAUAUGGUCGAGUAUAGCAGGCCGAAGUAGCUUGAGAAGUCAUAUCAUUCACUGUCAGGUUCUUCAAGCAUGAAAAAGGGGAAUUAUAAUUCUUUUAUCCAUGUUAAAGUUUGCUGCAUUUUUUUUAUUCAAAUCUUUUUUCGUAUACCGAUAUUUUGUGGUUCAGCUCAGCACACCUCUUGAAUGGAAAAGCUGAAUAUAUAUUCUUCUGUUACCUUUCAUGAUGUUCUUAUUCUUGCAAUGGUGAUUGAUAUCAACGGUGACCCACCGGGGGAGGGGACCGAUAUCCAACAUUAAGAAUGUUUUGCUUGUGACAGACUCAACAACCAAGGGUGCUUUCGAGAUAUCGAGUAACACAGCUUGGAUGUUAUCCCAUGGUGCAUUUGCAGGUGAGGUGGUUCACUGUUGAUAUUUUGAGGUUAUUUCUUUACAUUUAUGAAGAGAGCAGGCAGAUACUUGUAAAUCAUAGUCAUUUGGGCUUUAGAAUUGGUCUUUUUGUGAGAACUUUUUUGUAUUUUGUAGCAUGUUAGUCUUUGAGAUGUACAAGCAUAUAUUUAUUAGAUAUUUAUAAAGAUGUUUAUGUCUAAUUAUUUUAAAAACUAUCCUUUUUUAAGAGAAAAAUGGCUUUCCUCUUAAUAAAUUUAUAUUUUUUUGAAAAGAAUUUUCUCCCACUUUAUUACCUGGAAAUAUUAAUUAGUAUGUGAUAAAAAUAAUAUUUUAUAAUAUAUUUUUUUGAGUUUGAUCAAAUAAAGAAAUAAAUUUUCUUUUAAAACAAAACAAUUAAAUUUAAAAAUUCUAAUAAAUAAAAAAUUUUCUUAAGUGGUUUUUUUUAUGAAAAUUAAUUAGCCUUUUAAUUUAUUUUAUGGGUAAGUUGCAUUCAAGGUUAUUAAAUUAUUAGUAAGUUUACGUUUUGAUCGCUUAACUUCAAAAAGUUACAAAAUGACAACUGAAUUAUUCGAAAAUUUCAUUUAAGUCAUUGAAUUAUUAAAAUUAUUGCUACAUGACCUUUUCUGUUUGUACCGUUUACAUCAAUUGAAAGCUGUCUUUUUCUCUCUUACAAAUAUUUUUUCAUGAAAUAACUUUGAACGUCGCAAAUCUACGAACUAAAAUUUAAACAACUUUCUUCACCAAUUUCUUACAUUGACCAUAAGAUUGAAUUAAAUGUAAAAUUUUAAAUAUUUUAACAAUAAUUUUGUGACUUUUUAAACUUGAGUAAUAAAAAUAUAAAUUUACUAAUACACUUAUAUGAAAAUGAGAAAAAAAAAAUCUAACCAGAGUUCCAAUCUCUUGCUCCAUUUAAAGUAAAGAUUGACCCAACAACAGUAAACAAUUAAAGACAUCAUGCAAACUUCAAAGACACUAAAAAUUAUUUAAUAUUAAAAUUAAAUUCAGUCAAAUUUAAUGCUACUAAUUGAACAAAAAUCUAACAUUAAAUGAAAUCUUAAUUUCUCAUUUUUAUAUUCAGUUUAAUUCAGUCUAAAAAUAAAUAUUCAUAAUUAAAUUAAAUCUAUUUUAGGGCUACAAUAUUUAAUAAUUUAAUAUAUUUUAAUUAAAUUUUAAAAUAAACAAUUUUAUAUAUUUUUAAUAUAUAAAAAUAAAAUAUUUUAAUAUAUUACAUAAUUAAAAAUAAUAACGUGUUGAGCUUGAGUCUCGGUCUAAAUUCACCCGUAUUUUAAUUGAAUUAGAUUUUUUCCAAAUUUCUUAUUUUGCUCAAAUAUUUUUAUCUAAACUUUUUUAGAUAUUAAAACAAUUUUUAUGGCUAAUCCUAUACUUAAAAUAAAUUUAAUCGGUGUUAUUGAAAUUAGAUCAAAUUGACGGAUUGAAAUAUUGGUACUUAUAAAAAAAUAAAUUGAUAUUUUAAUUAAUUACUAAAAAUUUAAAAAAAUAAAAAAUUCAAAAAAAUUAUAAUUUUUUAAUUAUUAAUAAAUCAAAAAUUAAUAAUCUAACCUAUUGAAUUAUCAGCUCGAUUUUUUAAAUAUUUCAUUAAAAAGAAACCAACGGAUCUAGCCUGCCAUGUAUAUAUAUAUUUUUGAUAGCAGAGAGAGGAAAAAUUAUUUAAAAAAUGAAAAUUUGUUUCUAUUUUAUUGAAAGAAGGACAAGGGAAAUAAAAAUGACAAGAAAAGAAACAAAAGAAGCAAGUAAAGUCGGUUUUCUUUUGUACUUACUAUCACUAAAAAUUUAAUUUUUAAGGUUGAGAAGAAGAUGAUGAGAAUCUGAGUAUUAAAAUCUCUUAAAUUGGGUAUUUUUCGAUCUGGGUUUCUUUAAAGGUGUUAGAUUUAUAAUAGAUUUUGAUUAUUCUCUAUGAAAUCUUAGGUUUUAAAGCAUGGACCAAUCUAUUUCUCAACAGUCAUCUAAUGCUCUUAGAGGGUUUCGAGUUCAAGCUCCAUUGGUAAGUUCCAAAGCCUCACCUUCUCUCCUCCCCCCCCAUUUUUUAGGUGAAAUUUAUUGUAUUUUUUAGAGAUAAACAGUUGAUGAAUUUGUUGAAAACCUGAUUUGAAGAUACCCAGAUUGAGAAUUGUAGUUAAUUGAGAAAAUGGGAUUCCAAAGUUUGAGACUUUGAAAGAGCUUAGUGUGCUAUACUAUGGGUUCUUCAUUAUUAUUUUAUUAUUUUUUUUGAAAGUUUUAGUUGUUUUGUUUACUGAUGGUGGGAGUUCUGCUAUUUUAUCAUUGGGUUGUUCUUUAGCUAUGGAUUCCAAGAUCAAAUCUUUUUGAACCAAUCUACCAUUUCUUGUGUGUUUGUGGUCAUUUGGGAUCUAUGAACAUUUAAAUAGGAACCAUUUUCCAUUUUGACUUUCUUUUGUAACUUGCAACUUUGCCUUUUGAGAGUGAAUUUGUUGAAGAUUUUUAUUUUAUUUCUGCUUGAAAGAGAAUCAAAUUUGGUCCGAAAUUAUGCUUGGCUUGAAAGAGAAUUAAAAUUUGAGAGUGAUAUUGAACUUUCUUUAGUUACAACUAUUGUAUUACUUUGUUGGACAAUAAUAAAAUUUAUUUGUUUGUUAGAUGAUACAAUAAAAAAAAUUAAUUAAAAGGAAAUAGUGCUCGGCGGUUUGUUGACUGGCUUUAUUUGUAUACUCUUUAUCUGCUAAUUUGCUACUGGCAUCAUUGAGGAAGAACCAUGGCGGAGCCUGUGUAUAGGUUCCUCAUAGUUUUCUAAGGAUAUAAAUGCAUAUGCAGAUUGUAGCUUUGUUCUUGAUAAACAGUAUCAUUAGCUUACACUCAGGUUCAAUAUUUAUCAAUAUGUUUUUAAUUGAGUCUUAGCUCGGUUGGCAUCGUUGCUAUUGCUCAACCUGGAAGACGUGGAUUUGAACACACUUGAGAGUAAUUUUCAGAUGUUCAUUGUUUCUUUCCUAACUGGAAAACUUUUGCAGGUUGAUUCUGUAUCAUGCUAUUGUAAAGUGGAUUCUGGAUUGAAGACAGUUGCUGAGGCAAGAAAAUUUGUCCCAGGGUCGAAGCUUUGUAUUCAGCCUGAUAUCAAUCCCAAUGCACACAAGAGUAAAAACUCUCGCAGAGAGAGGACUCGAGUCCAGCCACCUCUUCUCCCUGGCCUUCCUGAUGAUCUUGCCAUUGCAUGUCUGAUUCGAGUUCCUCGUGCUGAACACCGAAAACUCCGUGUAGUUUGUAAGAGAUGGUAUCGCCUUCUGGCUGGGAAUUUCUUUUAUUCUCUUAGGAAAAGUCUUGGAAUGGCAGAAGAGUGGGUUUAUGUCUUCAAACGAGAUCGUGAUGGUAAGAUAUCAUGGAAUGCAUUUGACCCUAUCCAUCAGCUGUGGCAGCCACUUCCUCCAGUUCCAAGGGAGUAUUCUGAGGCAGUUGGUUUUGGUUGUGCUGUUCUAAGUGGUUGCCACCUGUACUUGUUUGGAGGAAAGGAUCGACAAAGGGGUUCAAUGAGACGUGUUAUUUUCUAUAGUGCUCGGACAAACAAGUGGCAUAGAGCACCAGAUAUGCUUCGAAAACGUCAUUUCUUUGGUUCCUGUGUGAUAAAUAAUUGCCUUUAUGUGGCUGGUGGAGAAUGUGAAGGAAUUCAUAGGACUUUACGAUCUGCUGAAGUUUAUGAUCCUAACAAGAACAGAUGGAGUUUUGUUCAAGAUAUGAGCACUGCUAUGGUACCUUUCAUUGGGGUAGUUUAUGAUGGAAAGUGGUUUGUAAAAGGUCUUGGGUCUCAUCGUGAGGUUAUGAGUGAAGCAUAUGAUCCUGAAUCUAAUUCCUGGUCUCCUGCUAGUGGCGGGAUGAUUUCUGGUUGGCGCAAC
rnacentral:lncRNA from 1 species